GUGCUUGCUUCAGCAGCACAUAUAUAAAAUUGUAACUAUACAGAGAACAUUAGCAUGGCCCCUGUGCAAGAUGGCAUGCAAAUUCAGGAAGCCUUCCAUAUUUCA
ensembl:snRNA U6 U6 spliceosomal RNA